GGAAAAGGCUGGGGUUCCCAUCAAUGAAGCUUUACUUUUCUUUAAAGAAUGAACUCUAAAGAAAGUACUCUCAUAUGAAAUGUAUUCACCUACUCCUUCCCUUCAUUCCCCUCCCUCCCCAAAACGGAAAGCAGAACACAUCUUCCUUUGGACUGAAUCCCUCAUCUCUUCAUCCUCUAUUUUUCCAUGCUGAGAAAAAACUCCAGAACUGAAUGUUUGGAUUUAAAUCAAAAAUGAACACUGUCCAGCAUUGUACUCAACACCGGCUGCCGCUGGUGGUGGGAUUGUGGCAUUCAGUCUAUUUACAGGCAUGACCGUCCAAAAGUUAAGAGAGAGAUGAAGAUUUUCUUCAGAGACUAUAAAAACCUUUCAAAACAACAUAUCUGUCAAUUAACUGGAUUACUUACAAAAGGAAAAAGUCAACAGAUGUGCUGUUCCAUUUCUCUUCAGCGACUUGUUUGCUUCAACACUUCUUUGAUCUGGACUCGCCUUUGUGUGAGCUGCCCAUUGUUUGGCCUCUGUGUAGGACGUAGGUCAGAGGCAUGAAUUCGUCAGGUUCUUCAACUGUCUCAAGAUCAUUGCCGAAGAUGGGCUGUCUCAAGCGGUCAUCAAGUUUCAAGCCUAUGGAUCUCUCCUACCUCACGCUUUUUCAACAGGUUAACAUGAGUUCAUGGAGGAGCAGCAAUUUAUUGAAGGGGUUAACUGAAGGAGUAGAGGGAACAAUCAGAAGAAGAAAGGAUUCAAUUUGAACAGGAUUCAGGAGAAUUAAGAGACUUGCUAGACUUGCUGGAAAACAGAACACAAAGCCUCCAGUGACAUGAUGAUGAAUACAUCGUGGGAAACUCAUUAUUUUUACAGGAAGCAAAUACUGCAUUAUGGAAAAAGCUGAACGUAAGACAUGUGGCAACUAACACUCAGUUCAAAAGGAAGAAGAAGGAAAUAUCAACAGUUUAUUCAUUGGUGUGUUUCCAAGGGUUAGAUAGAAUUGAACACUAAUAAGCAACACAAUAUGAGAUACCUGACAGUAAGUCAUCAGAAACUUUGAUAAACUUGUGAUUGUUCUCAUUUUUAUCUAAUCCCAGGCAUACACACACAGCAAGAACUGAUACAGAAGAUUAGAAGACAAUACAGUAAAAAUGGGUGGAGAAAUUACAGUUUGGGAUGUCCAAAGUCUGGAUUCAGUUCCCAUCUCUACCAUCCCUCCAAAGUGAAAUCCAGCAAGCCUUUCUGCCAGGUGUUAUUUCUCUAUUUUUCUGAAUGUUGUCAACUUAAAGCAUUCAAUAUUAAUAGUCAGAGAGAUGGUCUGAUGGCUAAACCAACAUCAUCUCGGUCUGGAAUCGUUCAGAAUAGGUUUUCCAGCAUCAAACGCAGCUCAAAAACCUCAUCUGCAUGUGCAGCUCAACCUGGAAGGGCAGGCUGCUGAUGCUGUGGGGAGAAGAAAGAGGUAGAGGCUUUCUAGAAAGAAACUCCACCUUCAGCUCCUCACACUGGCAAAAAGCAGCCUUCAGGUGACACCUCCCUUUCCCAGGGCAAUUCCAGUCCCAGC
rnacentral:lncRNA from 1 species